rnacentral:rRNA from 1 species
UACUAGAGUAGCACUCGCAUAUCAAUAAGCGGAGGAAAAGAAACUAACAAGGAUUCCCCUAGUAACGGCGAGUGAAGCGGGAAGAGCUCAAAUUUGAAAUCUUAAAGGGUUUCCCUUUACGAAUUGUAGUUUAAAGAAGUGUUUUCUGUUGAGGUUUUGGUAAAAGUUCUUUGGAAUAGGACAUCAUAGAGGGUGAGAAUCCCGUAUUUGACCUUUACUUUCAACUUUGUGAUACACUUUCAAAGAGUCGGAUUGUUUGGGGAUGCAGUCCAAAAUGGGUGGUAAAUUUCAUCUAAAGCUAAAUAUUGGCGAGAGACCGAUAGCGAACAAGUACCGUGAGGGAAAGAUGAAAAGAACUUUGAAAAGAGAGUUAAACAGUACGUGAAAUUGUCAAAAGGGAAGCGUUUGACACCAGUGUUGUUUUUCUGAAAAUCAAUUAAAGAACUGUUUAUGCUAAGCUGUUUAGACUUUAUCAGCUAUCUGUUUAGUUUUGAGCUUUUCUUUAAUGCACUUUUCAGUUAACAAGUCAACAUCAAUUUCUUUUGCCUGUAAAAAAGCUUGAGGAAGGUGGCUUGAGAUUCGUCUUAAGUGUUUAUAGCCUCUUGCCUAUGCAGUCGGAGAGAUUGAGGUCUGCAGCGUAGAUCCUUCGGGGCUAAAUGCAUUUGUGCUAAGUUAUAGCAUUUUAUAGACAACUUGUUGACUAUGAUUUGUCUUGUAGCUUACUCGCUUAUGUUAUUUUACCUACGCUUAGGAUGUUGAGCGCAUGUCUCUCUCU